AUUGAACGCUGGCGGCAGGCCUAACACAUGCAAGUCGAACGAGUCGCGGACGGGUGAGUAAUGUCUGGGAAACUGCCUGAUGGAGGGGGAUAACUACCGGAAGCGGUAGCUAAUACCGCCUACCCUCAGAUGGGCCGAGAUGGGAUUAGCUAGGUGGUGGGGUAACGGCACACCAAGGCGACGAUCCCUAGCUGGGCUGUGAGGAUGACCAGCCACACUGGAACUGAGACACGGUCCAGACUCCAACGGGAGGGAGCAGUGGGGAAUAUUGCACAAUGGGCGCAGGCCUGAUGCAGCCAUGCCGCGUGGAUGAAGAAGGGCUUCGGGUUGUAAAGUACUUUCAGUGGGGAGGCGUUACCAGCAGAAGAAGCACCGGCUAACUCCGUGCCAGCAGCCGCGGUAAUAC
rnacentral:rRNA from 1 species